rnacentral:rRNA from 1 species
CUUCCGUAGGUGAACUUGCGGAAGGAUCAUUAAAGAGUAAGGGUGCUCAGCGCCCGACCUCCAACCCUUUGUUGUUAAAACUACCUUGUUGCUUUGGCGGGACCGCUCGGUCUCGAGCCGCUGGGGAUUCGUCCCAGGCGAGCGCCCGCCAGAGUUAAACCAAACUCUUGUUAUUAAACCGGUCGUCUGAGUUAAAAUUUUGAAUAAAUCAAAACUUUCAACAACGGAUCUCUUGGUUCUCGCAUCGAUGAAGAACGCAGCGAAAUGCGAUAAGUAAUGUGAAUUGCAGAAUUCAGUGAAUCAUCGAAUCUUUGAACGCACAUUGCGCCCCUUGGUAUUCCGAGGGGCAUGCCUGUUCGAGCGUCAUUACACCACUCAAGCUAUGCUUGGUAUUGGGUGCCGUCCUUAGUUGGGCGCGCCUUAAAGACCUCGGCGAGGCCUCACCGGCUUUAGGCGUAGUAGAAUUUAUUCGAACGUCUGUCAAAGGAGAGGACUUCUGCCGACUGAAACCUUUUAUUUUUCUAGGUUGACCUCGGAUCAGGUAGGGAUACCCGCUGAACUUAAGCAUAUCAAUAAGCGGAGGAAAA